GAUGAACGCUGGCGGCGUGCCUAACACAUGCAAGUCGAGCGAAGCGGGGACGGGUGAGUAACACGUGGAUAACUUCCUAUAAGAUUGGGAUAAUUCUGGGAAACCUGAGUUAAACCGGUUACUUAUAGAUUGAUCCUGGCUGCAUUAGCUAGUUGGUAAGGUAACGGCUUACCAAGGCAACGAUGCAUAGCCGACCUGAGAGGAUGAUCAGCCACACUGGAACUGAGACACGGUCCAGACUCCUACGGGAGGCAGCAGUAGGGAAUCUUGCGCAAUGGGCGAAAGCCUGACGGAGCAAUGCCGCGUGAGUGAUGAAGGUCUUCGGAUCGUAAAACUCUGUUAUUAGGGAAGCGGUACCUAAUCAGAAAGCCACGGCUAACUACGUGCCAGCAGCCGCGGUAAUAC
rnacentral:rRNA from 1 species